ACUUGCUGCACCAGCUGCUUGGAGUGCUGUCAGUCACAGCCUUCAGCUGCCAGCCCCUUUAGAGAUUGCAGAGAGCUGCCUUUCCCAGUGUUUUACUCCUUCCUGGGCUGGCCCACAUCCAGUGACUCACUGAUGCAGGAGUGUAAAGUCUUGGCCAUCUAGACCCAACUUGGGACAACUUUAAAGGGCCAUUGUGCUCCCGAGUCUCACUGAGGUUGGGUCUGCAUUGCAGCUUGACUUUCCCCUCUAUAUAUUCCUGUUUUCUUCCUUUGCCUCUCUUCCAUGGGUGUUGAUUCUAAGGAUACUCCUUAAUAAACAUCCUGUUUGGUAAACUCCAUCGCAGCAUCUACUUUCCAGUGAAUGCAACCUGCAACACCACAGAGAGAACAUGAAUGUCAGAAGGUGAGAUCACUGGAGACCAUCUUACUUGGAGGUUGGCUGCCACAGUAGGCAAAAGAGAAUUACCAGAUAAAUGGAAAAAAUCUGAAGUACAAAAGGAAAAGACCAAGAAUCCCAGGAAGAAAGGAGAAAGAGGGAGGGACUGAAGAAGUACUCAAAGAAGUAAUGGAUAAAAUCUUCCCAAAUUUGGAAAGGAGCAUUAACUAUAUACUGAAGAAGCUAAAAAGAUAAACCCAGAGAUAUCCAACCACACUUAUAUUAACUUGACUUCUGAAAACUAAAGAUAAAUGAAAAGUCUUGAAAGCAGUCAGAGGAAAAUGACACUUUGCCUAUAGAGGAAAACCAAUUUGAAUGACAGUGGAUUUCUCAUCAGAAACCACUGAAGUCAGAAGGAAGUAGCACAGUACUUUUCAAGUGCUAAGAGAACUGUCAACUCAGAAUCCUAUUCUCUGUGAAAAUAUUCUUCAGAAAUGAAGGGUGAAAUCAAGAAAUUGUCAGAUGAAGGAAAAUAAUUUGUUACCUACAGACCUACCUAAAACAAU
rnacentral:lncRNA from 1 species